GAGUGGCGGACGGGUGAGUAACGCGUGGGUAACCUGCCUCAUACAGGGGGAUAACAGUUAGAAAUGACUGCUAAUACCGCAUAAGACCACGGAGUCGCAUGGCUCAGUGGGAAAAACUCCGGUGGUAUGAGAUGGACCCGCGUCUGAUUAGGUAGUUGGUGGGGUAACGGCCUACCAAGCCAACGAUCAGUAGCCGACCUGAGAGGGUGACCGGCCACAUUGGGACUGAGACACGGCCCAAACUCCUACGGGAGGCAGCAGUGGGGAAUAUUGCACAAUGGGGGAAACCCUGAUGCAGCGACGCCGCGUGAGCGAAGAAGUAUUUCGGUAUGUAAAGC
rnacentral:rRNA from 1 species